CUGGCCUUUGAACUAUAAAUAUUUGCUAUCGCUCAGGAACUUAAUGUUUUUAAUUGCUUUUAUAGCUUGCCUAAAUUUUGUUGUUUGGAAUCAAUUAGAAACAUUGUACCAAGUAAGUGACUCGUUUACCUCAUAGUUUUGUAUUGUCUUAAAGCAAAAGGUGUCUCAAACCCUCACUGUUUUUUUUUUUUUUCCCCUUUUUUUGUUGAUUUCAGUUUUUGCCUUCUAUAAUAGAGAGAGAGAGAGAUGAGCCAAGUGAUAGCUCCCGUAUUCAUGUUGGUAGAUAGCCAAACAUGAAUAAUUUUUGCCCCCUUUGCAAAAAGUUGGCUUUUCCAGAAAGAUGAGAUUAUGGUUGUUACAGGAGCAGCAGUGCUAUAUGAGGGGAGCAAUGGUGAAUGUGAUAGGGGAGGUGGCCGGUGGAUGGUCAAAUCGAUGGCAGGUUUCAAGUGAUGCAGUAGAAUUUUCCUUGUCCUUCAUAACAAGGGUUUAUGCCUAAGAGGCCUAUUGGUGGGCUUAGUGUACUAGUAGACUUAGUCUAUGACCAAUAACUAAGCAUUAUGUUCUUAUCAUAGGUAGUUUUUUGAAUGGAAGAAUAAUGAAUAGCUUGGGAAAAGCUCCGGUGUUCUCUCUAUUAUCUAACCCUGCGGACAACCCUAGCAGGCCCAGCCCUAGGCAUAUGCCCUCUAAGAGUAAGCCUAGUGCACCAAUUUUGGCCCAAAGUAGGGCCUCAUUUGGAAGAAGUAAUAAAUCGUAUUUGCUUCGGAAUUUUCUAAAGCUUUCAGUGAUGGAUCUGUGGUAAGUGGUUAAAGUGUACACAGCAGGUUUCGAGUUCAAAACUUCUCGCGUUCUCUUUGUUUUUAAUGUUGAAUGGUUAAAAGCUUUUUCUUCACGGAUUUUGGAGCUGCUGGGUUUUGAACCCUACACCAAAAGCUUAAGGAACUCAGCUUUUUGAGCUAAAUCUGUUGUGGAACAGCCCAGCAACCACCCAACAACAGAACAACAACACCUCAAGCACACAAACGCAGCCAGUCAACAGAGAAAAACGCAGCAAAGAAGAACAGAAAACAC